AAGGGACUGCUGGAGAGUCUGGGAGCAUCAGGGAUGAUGAUGAGGGUUUAUGAAGCAAGCUGGAGGGGAGUUUCUCAGCAAAGAUGUGCUAAAAGCCAUGCCGCAAGAUUUUGAUGUCUCAGCUCCUUCUGGCCUCAGCAGAAUGCAUGUCUGUCAGCUCCGGUCAGCCUGAUCCACGCAUGCGGUUCCUGUGCAAUCUCUUAAGGACAACAGAGGGUGUUUCUCUUCUUUUCCCUUGAAGGAAACUCAUGAACUGGUUUCACAUUUGUUUUUCUUUUAAACUUGAGGCUUUGCAGAUAUUAAAAUAUAAUCCAGGAAGAAUUUGCUUUGUGCGGGAACAGUGUGGGAUUAUUUUGGGGAAAGAAAGGUCGCUUUGGGGUCUAGUAGAGGUGGGGAGGGGGAGAGCUUUUCAUUUCCCCUCUGGGCUCCUUUGGGAUCCAUGUCAAUACUUCCUGAGAAACAAGAGCAGCUGGUAUGAGAACAAAGUUGUAGACUUCCAAAUAUUCGAGGCUUCGCACUGUCUUGCUUAAAGCCAACCAUGCCAUGUCGGGGGCUCAGAAAGACGACAAAAAGGGACUUCUAAGGAAGAUGGGAAGCUGGCAGAAGCAAAACAGGCCCAUCUAAUCUUCCUUAUAAACUGAGUGAAUGCUUCUGUUCAACCUACACCCCUGCUUCUAUAGCAGUGGUUUUAACCUGUAGUCCACAGAUGCCUGGGGGUCUGCAGACUAUGUCUAAGGGAUUUGAUGACUAUGAUGAAUCAAAAGUAUGUGAAUACCCACACUGACAAUUCAGAGGGGUCCAUACCGCCAUUCAAAUUUUUUUAGGGGUCCACAAAUGAAAAAAAGGUUGAAAACCAUCCAGAGAGAAUGGGUAUUAAAAUGAUGCUUCUGAUAUUGGGUUGUUGAUUCUGGUUAAAAAAUAAGCUAAUAAUUUGUAUUCUAGGUGAACAGCAGAACUAAGCAUUGAGAACAGGAAGUCCAGGGCCCCAGCGCAAUCCAGUCGCAUUUGGGAGAGAAACAAGAAUUCUAGAAAUGUAAAGAGAGGCUUAAGACAGCAUUUCCCAGGACCAUGUUGGAUCCAUGGCACGGAGCAGCUUUCCUUUGCUACACUCAGACCGCGGGGAAGGCAGUGAGGAGGGAGAGACUUUCUGAGGCUGUCGGAAGAGGAUGCACAGCUGACAGUGACUGCACACUUGACAGUGUUUAUUUGGAUUUCCAGAAAGCCUUUGAUAAAGUUCCACAUGGCAGACUCCUGACUGAACUGUACAAGCUCCAGGGAUCAUGGGAACAUAGAAAGUGCUGUCUACCCAUCUGUGAGAGGACACCAAAGGCUGAGAGAGACUGCAACCAGCCAAAGGUCCAAGUGGCACAUGCAGCAAGUGAAAGAUUCUCCCCUCCCUGCAGGGAGGGAGGCACAGACCGGGGAGAAGUGCAAGCACGUUCCUGCGAGAAGGAUGGAGCCAAAGCAAGACCAAGAAAGGAUGAUGGUGGAGCUAGAACAGGGAGGAAGGGACUGAACAGUAGGUUCUUCCCUGCCGUUAUGAGGAAGCAGAUACCAUGAAUGCCUGUGUGUGUUGGGGCUGGGCUCGCAGGAACCUGGGAGAUGGGAGGAGAGUUGAUUCUGCCCUUCUGUCCAAGAACUGGCUUCUUGUGUUUUCCUUUGUGACGGAUGAGUAAAGAACAUUGAUCAAUCAUAGAUCCAGACAAGCCUGCUGAGACCAUCACCCAUAAACUGCUUCUCUAAUUUUGUACCAGCACUGGUACCAGGUCCUGCCAGGGCCUCUUCUCUAACUUGUGUACUGUGUAUUCCUAUUG